CAAUAGCGUAUAUUAAAGUUGUUGCGGUUAAAAGCUCGUAGUUGGAUUUCUGCUUAGGAGAGUCGGUCCGCACUACGUGCGUGUAUCUGAUUUCGCCUGGGCAUCCUCUCGGAAGACAGUCCUGUGCUUGAUUGCAUGGGCUGGAGUCCGGGACUUUUACUUUGAGGAAAUUAGAGUGUUCACGGCAGGCAAUCGCCCUGAAUAUAUUAGCAUGGAAUAAUAAUAUAGGAUCUGAUGCCUAUUUUGUUGGUUUCUAGGUGUUAGAUAAUGAUUAAUAGGGACAAUUGGGGCAUCCAUACUAUGGCGUCAGAGGUGGAAUUCUUGGAUUGCCAUAUGAUGAACUACUGCGAAAGCAUUUGCCAAGGAUGUUUUCAUUGAUCAAGAACUGAAACGUAAGGGGAUCGAAUGAUGAUUAGAUACC
rnacentral:rRNA from 1 species